AACCCUGUGAACAUACCUAUAACGUUGCCUCGGCGGGAACAGACGGCCCCGUAACACGGGCCGCCCCCGCCAGAGGACCCCCUAACUCUGUUUCUAUAAUGUUUCUUCUGAGUAAACAAGCAAAUAAAUUAAAACUUUCAACAACGGAUCUCUUGGCUCUGGCAUCGAUGAAGAACGCAGCGAAAUGCGAUAAGUAAUGUGAAUUGCAGAAUUCAGUGAAUCAUCGAAUCUUUGAACGCACAUUGCGCCCGCCAGUAUUCUGGCGGGCAUGCCUGUUCGAGCGUCAUUACAACCCUCAGGCCCCCGGGCCUGGCGUUGGGGAUCGGCGGAAGCCCCCUGCGGGCACAACGCCGUCCCCCAAAUACAGUGGCGGUCCCGCCGCAGCUUCCAUUGCGUAGUAGCUAACACCUCGCAACUGGAGAGCGGCGCGGCCACGCCGUAAAACACCCAACUUCUGAAUGUUGACCUCGAAUCAGGUAGGAAUACCCGCUGAACUUAAGCAUAUCAAUAAGCGGAGGA
rnacentral:rRNA from 1 species